UUUUUUAUUUUUUUAUUUUUUUUUUUACCCUAACCUUUAGACCUUAUAAGCCAGUGGCAGGCGUGCUACUUUUCUAUAAGCAGACAAGCCCACAUAGCCUAUGCAGCCGUAGGUGUUGAUGUAGAACUUUUGCAAAGCUAUUAACCAUAGGGUUGGCAGCCGGAUGCCUUACUUACAGAAGCAGACGAAUCCGCGUAACCACUUGGCUAUUCAACCUUGGCUCUUUCCAAUUCCGUAGGUUGUUUAGCAAGUAUCACAACACUUUAGGACUUGGUGUAGGUUAUUCUGCGUUUGACAGAGGUGAAGCUUAUCGACUACGUAGCAUGUCGGCAGUGGAUAAAAUCUUUGUGUGUGCACGCUAACUUGUUUAAACUUUCACAAUAAUGUGUGGUUGCAUAAGUCUAGCGUGGUUCUACUGCUCGAAGGGCAAGCCGUAGGUAGUCUUCUGGAAAUCUGUAGGCUACCUUAGUGCACUCGGUAGCAGCUUUAGGUUUCCAGGGCAGCCACCCAUUGGGUGUGCUGCAUAAUGUGCCCCCUCCGUUUCUAGGGCCCGGUUCCCUGCGGAUUAAGCUGAUAGACCCAUAAUCCUUCAACUAGCUAAGCCUUGAAACAGACCAUUGUGGCUACUUCUAGGAAUCCCGGCGCAAGCCAUCAUGCACCUAGUUAUACUAGGGCAGCCAAGCUCAUCCACGUCUGGAUAUUCGGAGUGUUAUGUUUAUCCUCCCGCCUUGGAGAGGACAGUUGGUCCCUCGGGGGGGGGGUGCAAUCUUCUUUUGAAGUAUAGAAAGAAAUAAGUUGUUGUAGACAUAUAAUAAAGCCAAGUUACAAAUUACUUCUGAAUUCUUUAUUGAAAAAUAAAAUGAGCAAAUAACUUGGUUGCAAAAAACUGCAUGAUGAUUGGAUAGUCCUCGGUUUACGAGGUGGUGCCCGUUGAGUUGCUCGAGUCUUCGGGUCUUGAUAUAGUGUGAAGUCACACAUGGUAUUUCCUCAAAUUGUAAGCAUUCCAUUGCUUCUCGAUCUCUUUAUCAUUCAUGGUAGCAAGAGUA
rnacentral:lncRNA from 1 species